AUGGCUGAGCUCGCCGGGGGCGCCGUCCGCUCGCUGCUUGGCGUCAUCCAUGACGAGGCUAAGUUACUAGGCGGCGUCCGUGGCGAUGUGCAGUUCAUCAAAGAGGAGAUGGAGAGCAUGAACAGCUUCCUCCUGCACCUCGCCAGGAAGACGCCCCGCAGCGGGGAGCACGACGAGCAGGUCCGCACGUGGAUGAAGCAGGUCCGCGACCUCGCUCAUGACUGCAGCAACUGCAUCGAUGUCUACCUACGGCGCGGCAAUCCGGCAGUCUACCGUGCCAGAGGAAUACUGCUGGGUUACGUGUGGUGGGUGCCUUGGUUCGUGAAGAAGACGCUCGCUCAGCACCUCGCAGCCACCCAGCUGCGCGACCUCAAAGCCCGGGCUCGUGAUGUUGGGGAGCGGCGGCUCAGGUACGGCGUUGAGGUCCCGGCGAAGCUGGACUUCGACCAAAAGCUGAUGGAGGCGUCGUCGUCAUCAACAUUGUUCCAAGCUACUAGGGCAGUUGUAGCCGAAGGAGACCAUGACUUCGAAGAAGACUACUACCGGAUGAUAAGUGAUGAUCCACGAAGGGAGCAAGCCUUUUCCGAGCCUCGCAUUUCUGACAAGUGCACUGAAAAGCUAGUCCGCUGGCUUGAACAACAACAAGAGGAUGGUCCAUGCGAGGAGGACUGCAGGGAGAUGAUUGAACAUGUCCUGGAGAGGAUCAAAGAGCAUCUGUUAAUUCAAGAAACCGUGGGGAGGGUUAGAGAGCAUCUGCAGGGUACAAGGACACUGGUCGUUCUCCACAAUGCCUCUGGCUACAAAUGGGAUGAGACUUCAAAGGCCUUGCGAGAUUUGGGUUGCAGUUCAAUGGCAGUGGUAGUUACCACAAAAUACAUGCAGAGGGCCAACGAGUUUUGCUAUGGGACAGAACCCAUCAUAUACUCUUCUAUUGAAUACUAUCGCGAAACAGCACUCCAACUUACAAAUCGGCAUGUGAAUGAUGACGAGAAGUACAGCGCUGAAAUCUACCAUGAGAUCUUGGAGAAAUGUAGGGUGGAUGAGUUCUGCAUAAAGAUGUUCAUCCAUGCUCUGUUUGCCAAUCCAAUGAGGAGCAGAGAAGAACUGGACAAAUUGAGCAACAGCCUCGUGUUUGAAGGAUCCGUGGAGACCAAUGGCUACAAGAUGAUCAAGUUCUCGUACAAUGAUCUGCCUAGGGAAUACAAGACCUGCUUGCUGUACCUAGCCAUCUUCCAUAAAGACGAGAAGAUAAACCGGACAAGGUUAAUUGGGCGGUGGGUUGCGGAAGGACUGAUAACUAGACAAGACUGGCCCAGUUCAGUCAGUCAGGCCGAGCAUUGUUUUGAGGUACUUGCCGACCUAUGGCUUCUCUGUCCUUGCGACAUUGGUACUGCAGGGAAGGUCAAGAGCAUUACGUUGCAUCCACUAGUGUACAACUUCAUCACCAGGAUGGCCAGGAAAGAACACAUUCUGGACACACGCCUAUCUUGGCACCUGGCUCGCCACUUCUCCGUUCUCAGCAACAUCCGGCUCCGUCCCUCGGAUAGCAUCCUCAACUUCUUGAAGCAACCAUCCCGAGCAUCAUCUCAGUUAAAUCUCGUCAAGGUCCUGGAUCUGGAAGGUUGUCCAUCCCUUAGGGAUAACCAACGAUGGCUCAGGAAUGUGUGCACCUCAUUAAUACUGCUCAAGUAUCUGAGCCUAAGGAACACAGAUGUCACUCAGCUGCCGAAGGAGAUCAACAUGCUCCAGCAGCUGGAGGUGUUGGACAUCCGGCACACUCCUAUGAAUGCCUGCGCCACAAAACUGCUCAUGCUACUGAAGCUAAAGCGUCUGCUGGCUGGUCACACCGGCACUGGUGGUGGUGAUGCUAGCACACUUUCCACUGUCCAGAUGCCUCACAAGGUCAGAAAAAUGAUGGACCUGGAAGUGCUGUCCCAUGUACAGGCUUCGAAACAUCAUGCUACAGAGCUGAGAGAGAUUGGCCAGCUAUGGCAACUAAGGGUUCUUGGUGUGACCAUUUAUGAUUGGAAAGCUCAACUUGAGAACUUACUCCAAGGGAUUAGCGAUCUGAAUGAGUGCCUUCGGUCUUUGUCGAUCGAGAUCAAGCCUCCGCCUACCAGGCAGGCUGCUACUCCUCCUGACGUACCUGCAGCCGAUGCUAUCAGUGCACACUGUAAAAACACACCCAAGCUUCUCGAAAUCCUGAGCAUCAGUGGAGUCACGAUGUAUGGGCAUCUUCUCCCAUUGUUCGCAAGAGGCUGCCACAAACUUGCUGAGGUAACUCUUCAUAACACCUCGUUAGACCACAAUGAUAUGGAAUCCCUCGCAGAUUUGCCCAACCUACGCGGCCUCAGGCUCCAGCAUGUUAAUUUACACACUGAGGGAAAGCUUAUAAUCCAGACUAAUGGGUUCCAAAAUCUCAAGUAUCUUGUCGUUGAGGGGGGCGGCAUCACCGACAUCAACUUUGAACUUGGAGAAGCUCCUAAGCUUGAAAACAUCACCUGGCUCAUCGACGGGAUAGUGUCUCUGUCGGGAAUCAACAACCUUCCCAAGUUGAAGGAAAUGGUGUUCAAUGAUGGUGUCAGGCUACCAGAUCAAGUGAUACAAGCCAUAGAAGCACAUCCAAACUUCAUUGAUACCAAUGGAAUAUGGGAAUUAUGCUAA
rnacentral:rRNA from 1 species